rnacentral:rRNA from 1 species
AGAGUUUGAUCCUGGCUCAGGAUGAACGCUGGCGGCGUGCUUAACACAUGCAAGUCGAACGAAGCAUUUAAGACGGAUUCUUUCGGGAUGAAGACUUUUAUGACUGAGUGGCGGACGGGUGAGUAACGCGUGGGUAACCUGCCUCACACAGGGGGAUAGCAGUUGGAAACGGCUGAUAAUACCGCAUAAGCGCACAGUACCGCAUGGUACAGUGUGAAAAACUCCGGUGGUGUGAGAUGGACCCGCGUCUGAUUAGCUUGUUGGCAGGGUAACGGCCUACCAAGGCAACGAUCAGUAGCCGACCUGAGAGGGUGACCGGCCACAUUGGGACUGAGACACGGCCCAGACUCCUACGGGAGGCAGCAGUGGGGAAUAUUGCACAAUGGAGGAAACUCUGAUGCAGCGACGCCGCGUGAGUGAAGAAGUAAUUCGUUAUGUAAAGCUCUAUCAGCAGGGAAGAUAGUGACGGUACCUGACUAAGAAGCUCCGGCUAAAUACGUGCCAGCAGCCGCGGU